UGCGCAGGCGGUUUCGCAAGUCAGAUGUGAAAGCCCCGGGCUUAACCUGGGAACUGCAUUUGAAACUACGAGGCUAGAGUGUGUCAGAGGGGGGUAGAAUUCCACGUGUAGCAGUGAAAUGCGUAGAGAUGUGGAGGAAUACCGAUGGCGAAGGCAACCCCCUGGGAUAACACUGACGCUCAUGCACGAAAGCGUGGGGAGCAAACA
rnacentral:rRNA from 1 species